ACAAUGGGCGCAAGCCUGAUCCAGCCAUGCCGCGUGGGUGAAGAAGGCCUUAGGGUUGUAAAUCCCUUUCAGCGGGGAAGAUAAUGACGGUACCCGCAGAAGAAGCCCCGGCUAACUCCGUGCCAGCAGCCGCGGUAAUACGGAGGGGGCUAGCGUUGUUCGGAAUUACUGGGCGUAAAGCGCGCGUAGGCGGACCUGCAAGUCGGGGGUGAAAGCCCGAGGCUCAACCUCGGAACUGCCUUCGAUACUGCCAGUCUUGAGUUCGAGAGAGGUAAGUGGAAUUCCUAGUGUAGAGGUGAAAUUCGUAGAUAUUAGGAAGAACACCAGUGGCGAAGGCGGCUUACUGGCUCGAUACUGACGCUGAGGCGCGAAAGCGUGGGGAGCAAACAGGAUUAGAUACCCUGGUAGUCCACGCCGUAAACGAUGGGUGCUAGUUGUCAGGCAGCUUGCUGUUUGGUGACGCAGCUAACGCGUUAAGCACCCCGCCUGGGGACUACGGUCGCAAGACUAAAACUCAAAGGAAUUGACGGA
rnacentral:rRNA from 1 species